rnacentral:tRNA from 1 species
AGGGGUGUGGUGAAAUGGCUAUCACAUCAGUCUCCAAAACUGAUUUUCACGGUUCGAAUCCGUGCACCCCUGCCA